AUUUAUCGGGGAAGGAUUGGCCCGCGUUGGAUUAGCUAGUUGGUGGGGUAAAGGCCUACCAAGGCGACGAUCCAUAGCUGGUCUGAGAGGAUGAUCAGCCACAUUGGGACUGAGACACGGCCCAAACUCCUACGGGAGGCAGCAGUGGGGAAUAUUGGACAAUGGGCGCAAGCCUGAUCCAGCCAUGCCGCGUGAGUGAUGAAGGCCUUAGGGUUGUAAAGCUCUUUCACCGGAGAAGAUAAUGACGGUAUCCGGAGAAGAAGCCCCGGCUAACUUCG
rnacentral:rRNA from 3 species